rnacentral:rRNA from 1 species
UACGAAGGUCCCGAGCGUUAUCCGGAUUAUUGGGUUUAAAGGGUGCGUAGGCGGGUUAUUAAGUCAGUGGUGAAAGCCUACAGCUUAACUGUAGAAUUGCCAUUGAUACUGAUGAUCUUGAGUAUGAUUGAGGUGGGCGGAAUGUGUCAUGUAGCGGUGAAAUGCUUAGAUAUGACACAGAACACCCGAUUGCGAAGGCAGCUCACUAAGUCAAUAACUGACGCUG